rnacentral:rRNA from 1 species
GACGAACGCUGGCGGCGUGCUUAACACAUGCAAGUCGAACGGUAAGGCCCUUCGGGGUACACGAGUGGCGAACGGGUGAGUAACACGUGGGUGAUCUGCCAUGCACUUCGGGAUAAGCCUGGGAAACUGGGUCUAAUACCGGAUAGGACCACUGCCUGCAUGGGUGGUGGUGGAAAGCUUUUGCGGUGUGGGAUGGGCCCGCGGCCUAUCAGCUUGUUGGUGGGGUGAUGGCCUACCAAGGCGACGACGGGUAGCCGGACUGAGAGGGUGAACGGCCACGCUGGGACUGAGAUACGGCCCAGACUCCUACGGGAGGCAGCAGUGGGGAAUAUUGCACAAUGGGCGCAAGCCUGAUGCAGCGACGCCGCGUGAGGGAUGACGGCCUUCGGGUUGUAAACCUCUUUCAGCACCGACGAAGCGCAAGUGACGGUAGGUGCAGAAGAAGGACCGGCCAACUACGUGCCAGCCGCCGCGGUAA